CUAUUUUGGAGUUUAAGAAAUGAAUUGCUAAGAGAGCCCUGCUUUUGUCAUUGUUUCUUUUAUAUUAUAAAGGAGCUUGGAUCUGAGGAGAAAUAGAGGAGGAUGGCUAAAGUGUUUUUCAUUUCCUUUCUGCGGUUGAUCGCACAGUCACUUUACACUGUAUUUUAAAGUACACCAUGUAUGUUGGAACCUGGGACCUGUUGGACACCAGCUGCUUGCAACAGAUGGAAUAUCUGACAAAAACUCAAAUUCUCGAUUUUUUUUUGCUCCCCGCUCUCUGGCAAGUCAGUUGCAGCCUACCUCGACAUGGCAGUUUGGAUCCGAAUGGCAAUUUGGUCAAUACUACAGAGAUGAAGGCACGGGCAAGGAAGCUCAUCCAUCAUCUUAACACUCUUCAUGAUGAACCAAGCAAAGGAAUAUGGCAGACAGAAGAAGUGAGGACCACUUGGAAAGCUCCAUGGCACUUAGAAGUGGUGCUUCUGCAUAAACUCCAGCGGGCAUACAUGAUGAAGCAAUGCUACGUUUGUGAAAAGAGCUAGAAAAGCUGAAGGUGACUUGAUCCACGUGGGACACUGUGGUACCGCACCCCGUGCUCGAAACCGUGCUGGGCCACAGCGCUGGCGUGGACGGGCGUGUGGUGGCGUGUGCGCAGGAGGUGAAGGGGAAGGAACGCGAGUGUGUCGUCCUUAUUGCCUCCUGCGCGCGUUAAUCUUAAUGGUUGUGGUGUGUGCCUGUGGAUGUGUGCAUGUGUACGUUUUGCUUCCCAUUGUUUUGUUUGGCACUUUUAAUCCCCUGGGGCAUAUCUCUGAGCUGAAGAACUUUAGAGCUGAUAGAGCUUCUUUAAGUGGGGAUUAUGUAAAUGCAUAUUAUGGGGCUUUCAUAAAUAGGGAUUAUUUGUCGAAUACAUUUGAGUGCUUCCUUUGGAGCCAUUAAGGUCUGUUGUGUAAAUAGGAAUUUAGUGACUGCUUAAACUAGAUUUCAUUGAUUCAAUAAAAGACCAC
rnacentral:lncRNA from 1 species